GGAAAUGAUGAUAAGUACUGUCGCCCCAGUCUUACUUGCAUAUAAAUAGAUGCAAGUUGGUGAUUGACUUUUAUUAUCUGAUUC
rnacentral:snoRNA from 9 species